ACACAUGCAGUCGACGGUAACAGGACUUCGGUCGCUGACGAGUGGCGCACGGGUGAGUAACGCGUGGGUUACCUGCCCAUAAGUGGGGAACAACUUGGAGAAAUCCAAGCUAAUACCGCAUAAUACCUUCGGGUUAAAGAGGGGGAUCUUCGGACCUCUCGCUUAUGGAUGGUCCCGCGUCUGAUUAGCUAGUUGGUAGGGUAAUGGCCUACCAAGGCAAUGAUCAGUAGCUGGUCUGAGAGGAUGAUCAGUCACACUGGAACUGAGACACGGUCCAGACUCCUACGGGAGGCAGCAGUGGGGAAUUUUGCACAAUGGGCGAAAGCCUGAUGCAGCGACGCCGCGUGCGGGAAGAAGGCCUUCGGGUUGUAAACCGCUUUCAACAGGGAAGAAGGAAUGAGAGCUAAUACCUCUCUGCCUUGACGGUACCUGUAGAAGAAGCACCGGCUAAUUUCGUGCCAGCAGCCGCGGUAAUACGAAAGGUGCAAGCGUUGUUCGGAUUUACUGGGCGUAAAGAGAUCGUAGGUGGCUUGUUAAGUCGGAUGUGAAAUCCCGGGGCUCAACCCCGGAACUGCAUCCGAUACUGGCAGGCUUGAGUUUGGGAGGGGUAAGCGGAAUUCCGUGUGUAGCAGUGAAAUGCGUAGAUAUACGGAGGAACACCUGAGGCGAAGGCGGCUUACUGGACCAAUACUGACACUGAGGAUCGAAAGCGUGGGUAGCAAACAGGAUUAGAUACCCUGGUAGUCCACGCCCUAAACGAUGUCAACUAGCCGUUGCGGGUAUCGACCCCUGCAGUGGCGCAGCUAACGCGAUAAGUUGACCGCCUGGGGAGUACGGUCGCAAGAUUAAACUCAAGGAAUUGACGGGGGCCCGCACA
rnacentral:rRNA from 1 species